rnacentral:rRNA from 1 species
CUACGGGAGGCAGCAGUGGGGAAUAUUGGACAAUGGGCGAAAGCCUGAUCCAGCCAUGCCGCGUGUGUGAAGAAGGUCUUCGGAUUGUAAAGCACUUAAGUUGGGAGGAAGGGCAUUAACCUAAUACGUUAGUGUUUGACGUACCGACAGA